AGUCGAGCGGUAACAGGAGUAGCUUGCUACUCGCUGACGAGCGGCGGACGGGUGAGUAACGCGUAGGAAUCUGCCUAAUAGUUGGGGAUAGCCCGGGGAAACCCGGAUUAAUACCGAAUACGCUCUACGGAGGAAAGCAGGGGAUCUUCGGACCUUGCGCUAUUAGAUGAGCCUGCGUGAGAUUAGCUAGUUGGUGAGGUAAUGGCUCACCAAGGCGACGAUCUCUAGCUGGUCUGAGAGGAUGAUCAGCCACACUGGGACUGAGACACGGCCCAGACUCCUACGGGAGGCAGCAGUGGGGAAUAUUGCACAAUGGGCGCAAGCCUGAUGCAGCCAUACCGCGUGUGUGAAGAAGGCCUUAGGGUUGUAAAGCACUUUCAGUAGUGAGGAAAGGGGUGUAGUUAAUACCUGCAUCCUGUGACGUUAGCUACAGAAGAAGCACCGGCUAAUUCCGUGCCAGCAGCCGCGGUAAUACGGAAGGUGCGAGCGUUAAUCGGAAUUACUGGGCGUAAAGCGCGCGUAGGUGGUUCAGUCAGUCAGAUGUGAAAGCCCCGGGCUCAACCUGGGAACUGCACCUGAUACUGCUGGACUUGAGUACGGUAGAGGGUAGUGGAAUUUCCUGUGUAGCGGUGAAAUGCGUAGAUAUAGGAAGGAACACCAGUGGCGAAGGCGACUACCUGGACCGAUACUGACACUGA
rnacentral:rRNA from 1 species